rnacentral:rRNA from 1 species
UACGGGGGGGGUAAGCGUUGUUCGGAAUUACUGGGCGUAAAGCGCACGUAGGCGGCUUUUUAAGUCAGAGGUGAAAGCCCGGGGCUCAACUCCGGAAUUGCCUUUGAGACUGGGAGGCUUGAUCGUCGGAGAGGUGAGUGGAAUUCCGAGUGUAGAGGUGAAAUUCGUAGAUAUUCGGAAGAACACCAGUGGCGAAGGCGGCUCACUGGACGACUGAUGACGCUGAGGUGCGAAAGCGUGGGGAGCAAACAGG